rnacentral:rRNA from 1 species
GGGUUGUGAGGUUAAGCGACUAAGCGUACACGGUGGAUGCCCUGGCAGUCAGAGGCGAUGAAGGACGUGCUAAUCUGCGAUAAGCGUCGGUAAGGUGAUAUGAACCGUUAUAACCGGCGAUUUCCGAAUGGGGAAACCCAGUGUGUUUCGACACACUAUCAUUAACUGAAUCCAUAGGUUAAUGAGGCGAACCGGGGGAACUGAAACAUCUAAGUACCCCGAGGAAAAGAAAUCAACCGAGAUUCCCCCAGUAGCGGCGAGCGAACGGGGAGCAGCCCAGAGCCUGAAUCAGUGUGUGUGUUAGUGGAAGCGUCUGGAAAGGCGCGCGAUACAGGGUGACAGCCCCGUACACAAAAAUGCACAUGCUGUGAGCUCGAUGAGUAGGGCGGGACACGUGGUAUCCUGUCUGAAUAUGGGGGGACCAUCCUCCAAGGCUAAAUACUCCUGACUGACCGAUAGUGAACCAGUACCGUGAGGGAAAGGCGAAAAGAACCCCGGCGAGGGGAGUGAAAAAGAACCUGAAACCGUGUACGUACAAGCAGUGGGAGCACGCUUAGGCGUGUGACUGCGUACCUUUUGUAUAAUGGGUCAGCGACUUAUAUUCUGUAGCAAGGUUAACCGAAUAGGGGAGCCGAAGGGAAACCGAGUCUUAACUGGGCGUUAAGUUGCAGGGUAUAGACCCGAAACCCGGUGAUCUAGCCAUGGGCAGGUUGAAGGUUGGGUAACACUAACUGGAGGACCGAACCGACUAAUGUUGAAAAAUUAGCGGAUGACUUGUGGCUGGGGGUGAAAGGCCAAUCAAACCGGGAGAUAGCUGGUUCUCCCCGAAAGCUAUUUAGGUAGC